rnacentral:lncRNA from 1 species
GCCAUCUUCACACUAUUUUGACUACGAAACACUUAAGCUCUCAUUUAGGGACUAAGUGUCCCAAAACUCUCCGAAAGUUAAAACCAAACAUCCAGACAAUUCAAUUUGGCAGAAAUAGACUUGAGGAAAGUGGUUAAUAGGGGAUCAGGGUGUUAAUUGUUAAGACGACCAAUCGGAACGUCACAGAUGUGACUGUGGAUUUGGAAUCAGGGGUGGGUGGUAAUUAUGUGGUAGUGAUUUGGGGGUCGAUUAGGUCACGCCACCGCCGGUGGAGGCUUGGAAAUUUGGGGCAGUGGCUAGGGAUCUUGUUCUUUGAUUCUUAGAGACAGGGAAGGGAGGGG